GCGAGUCAUUGUAGUAAUACAAGGCAGACGGCUCAGUAACGCGUAGUCAACCUAACCUAUGGACGGGGAUAACCUCGGGAAACUGAGAAUAAUACCCGAUAGAACAUUAUGCCUGGAAUGGUUUAUGUUUCAAAUAAUUUAUUGCCGUAGGAUGGGACUGCGGCCUAUCAGUUUGUUGGUGAGGUAAUGGCCCACCAAGACUAUUACAGGUACGGGCUCUGAGAGGAGUAGCCCGGAGAUGGGUACUGAGACACGGACCCAGGCCCUAUGGGGCGCAGCAGGCGAGAAAACUUUGCAAUGUGCGAAAGCACGACAAGGUUAAUCCGAGUGGUUUCUGCUAAAGGAACCUUUUGCCAGUCCUAGAAACACUGGUGAAUAAGGGGUGGGCAAGUUCUGGUGUCAGCCGCCGCGGUAAAACCAGCACCUCAAGUGGUCAGGAUGAUUAUUGGGCCUAAAGCAUCCGUAGCCUGCUUUGUCAGUUUUCGGUUAAAUCCAUUCGCUCAACGAAUGGGCUGCCGGGAAUACUGCAAAGCUAGGGAGUGGGAGAGGUAGACGGUACUCGGUAGGAAGGGGUAAAAUCCUUUGAUCUAUUGAUGACCACCUGUGGCGAAGGCGGUCUACCAGAACACGUCCGACGGUGAGGGAUGAAAGCUGGGGGAGCAAACCGGAUUAGAUACCCGGGUAGUCCCAGCUGUAAACUAUGCAAACUCAGUGAUGCAUUGGCUUGAUGCCAAUGCAGUGCUGCAGGGAAGCCGUUAAGUUUGCCGCCUGGGAAGUACGUACGCAAGUAUGAAACUUAAAGGAAUUGGCGGGGGAGCACCACAAGGGGUGAAGCCUGCGGUUCAAUUGGAGUCAACGCCGGG
rnacentral:rRNA from 1 species